GGACAAAGAAAAAAAAAAAAAAAAAACCAAUAAAUUAUAAAUUCUAAGUACACAUAAUGAAUGUGUUGCUACUUUUUUUUUUUUUUUUUUUUUUUUAUUUAUUAAAGAUGAACUGAGGUACUAUGAAAUGAAAAUAUACGAAUCCGAAGAUUUUACGUUCUAUGUAGAUAUAAAAAAGAAUAUAAAGAAAAAAAUUGCACAUGUAUUCUUUUUAAAAGUUUUUAUUAUAAUGGUAUAGCUAUAAAAGUAAAAAAAAAAAUAAAAAAAUAAAAAAUUGAAAAGAAACAUAUUAUGAAAGUAUAAAAGACUAUAAUACAUCGAAUAUUUAAAGCAAUAUAUAAAGCGCGUAUAAAAACAUUUUAUCUAAAAUUGUUUAUUCAUUCUUAUUUUUUCUUCUUCUAUUUUUUUUUUUUUUGUAUGUCUGAUUUAGUUAUCUAUGAUUAUACUAAUAUAUUUUUCUGCUGAAUUAAAUACACUAUUAUUUCCCAUUGAAGGUAUAUUGAAAAAAUUAAAACUUAUGAAAAACAACCCAACGCUAGCCCUAGAAAUGCAGGAAGAAUUAUUAAAUCAUGAAUUAAACAAUAUAUUAACUAGUUCAAAUUUAAAAAAAUAUAGUAUAAAAGAAGAUUUUGAAAUUUUAAAAAUGGAAGAAAAUUUAAUGAAAUUAGGGACAUUAAUGUUGUUAGGUAUUAAUUUUGUUCAUUUCUUUUUAGCCUUUUUUUGAUCUUUCUUUAAGGUCUUUUUUUUUUAUUUUGUUUUUUUGUGUAUAUAAAUAUAUCAUUAAUAGUUGCUGUAGAACAAUUAU
rnacentral:lncRNA from 1 species